rnacentral:rRNA from 1 species
GAUGAACGCUGGCGGCGUGCCUAAUACAUGCAAGUCGAGCGAACGGACGAGAAGCUUGCUUCUCUGAUGUUAGCGGCGGACGGGUGAGUAACACGUGGAUAACCUACCUAUAAGACUGGGAUAACUUCGGGAAACCGGCGCUAAUACCGGAUAAUAUUUUGAACCGCAUGGUUCAAAAGUGAAAGACGGUCUUGCUGUCACUUAUAGAUGGAUCCGCGCUGCAUUAGCUAGUUGGUAAGGUAACGGCUUACCAAGGCAACGAUGCAUAGCCGACCUGAGCGGGUGAACGGCCACACUGGGACUGAGACACGGUCCAGACUCCUAGGGGAGGCAGCAGUAGGGAAUCUUCCGCAAUGGGCGAAAGCCUGACGGAGCAACGCCGCGUGAGUGAUGAAGGUCUUCGGAUCGUAAAACUCUGUUAUUAGGGAAGAACAUAUGUGUAAGUAACUGUGCACAUCUUGACGGUACCUAAUCAGAAAGCCACGGCUAACUACGUG